CAGCAGCCGCGGGAAUACGUAGGGUGCAAGCGUUAAUCGGAAUUACUGGGCGUAAAGCGUGCGCAGGCGGUUAUAUAAGUCAGAUGUGAAAUCCCCGGGCUCAACCUGGGAACUGCAUUUGAGACUGUAUGGCUAGAGUGUGUCAGAGGGGGGUAGAAUUCCACGUGUAGCAGUGAAAUGCGUAGAUAUGUGGAGGAAUACCGAUGGCGAAGGCAGCCCCCUGGGAUAACACUGACGCUCAUGCACGAAAGCGUGGGGAGCAGACAGGAUUAGAUACCCCGGUAGUCCCUGUCUCUUAUAC
rnacentral:rRNA from 1 species